AGAGUUUGAUCAUGGCUCAGGACGAACGCUGGCGGCGUGCUUAAUACAUGCAAGUCGAGCGAGGUUACUGUUUCGGAUCCCUUCGGGGUGAAGAAGCUUUAACCUAGCGGCGGACGGGUGAGUAACGCGUGGGUAACCUACCCCAAAGUCCGGGAUAACAGCGGGAAACCGCUGCUAAUACCGGAUGUCUUUACCUUGGGGCAUCUUGAGGUAAAGAAAGGUAACGCUUUGGGAUGGGCCCGCGUCCCAUUAGCUAGUUGGUGAGGUAACGGCUCACCAAGGCGACGAUGGGUAGCCGGCCUGAGAGGGUGGACGGCCACACUGGGACUGAGACACGGCCCAGACUCCUACGGGAGGCAGCAGUAGGGAAUAUUGCGCAAUGGACGGAAGUCUGACGCAGCGACGCCGCGUGAGCGAUGAAGGUCUUCGGAUCGUAAAGCUCUGUCCUUGGGGAAGAAGGCGAAAGCUUGACGGUACCCAAGAAGAAAGCCCCGGCUAACUACGUGCCAGCAGCCGCGGUAAUACGUAGGGGGCGAGCGUUGUCCGGAAUUACUGGGCGUAAAGGGUGCGUAGGCGGCCCUUUAAGUCGGAUGUGAAAGCCCGCGGCUUAACCGCGGAAUGGCAUUCGAAACUGGAGGGCUUGAGUGUCGGAGAGGGUAGUGGAAUUCCCAGUGUAGCGGUGAAAUGCGUAGAUAUUGGGAGGAACACCAGUGGCGAAGGCGACUACCUGGACGAUAACUGACGCUGAGGCACGAAAGCUAGGGGAGCAAACAGGAUUAGAUACCCUGGUAGUCCUAGCCGUAAACGAUGGGUACUAGGUGUGGGUGGUUUCGAUACCAUCCGUGCCGUAGUUAACGCAUUAAGUACCCCGCCUGGGGAGUACGUGCGCAAGCAUGAAACUCAAAUGAAUUGACGG
rnacentral:rRNA from 1 species